GGCGAACGCUGGCGGCAGGCCUAAUACAUGCAAGUCGAGCGAUCGGCCGUGGGGAGCUUGCUCCCUGCGGUACGGAGCGGCGCACGGGUGAGUAACACGUGGGUAACCUGCCUCGAAGACUGGGACAACCCCGGGAAACUGGGGCUAAUACCGGAUACCCUCAUCGGGUCGCAUGGCCUGGUGAGGAAAUGGAUUCCGCUUCGAGAGGGGCCCGCGGCCUAUCAGCUAGUUGGUGGGGUAACGGCCUACCAAGGCUCUGACGGGUAGCCGGCCUGAGAGGGCGAUCGGCCACACCGGGACUGAGACACGGCCCGGACUCCUACGGGAGGCAGCAGUAGGGAAUCUUGCGCAAUGGGCGAAAGCCUGACGCAGCCAUGCCGCGUGAGGGAUGAAGGCCUUCGGGUUGUAAACCUCUUUCGACAGGGAAGAAGCCACCGCAAGGCUGGUGACGGUACCUGUAGAAGAAGCCCCGGCUAACUACGUGC
rnacentral:rRNA from 1 species